UGCAGCUCAGUGGUAGGGCGCUUGCUUAGCAUGCAUGAGAGGCUGGGUUCAACCCCCAGUACUGCAA
rnacentral:tRNA from 1 species